CAUUAUCUAUUCCAUGAGGUGCGGUCGCGGCCCUCGGCGGGAGCAACAGCUGCCGUCGGGCGGUAGAGGUAACACUUUCACGCGCUGCAUGUCUGAAUCCUUUUUUUACGAGCACCUUUCGUUCUCCUUCGGCGGGGCAACCUGCCGUUGGAACCUAUCAAAACCUUUUUUUGCAUCUAGCAUUACCUGUUCUGAUACAAACAAUCGUUACAACUUUCAACAAUGGAUCUCUUGGCUCUGGCAUCGAUGAAGAACGCAGCGAAAUGCGAUAAGUAGUGUGAAUUGCAGAAUUCAGUGAAUCAUCGAAUCUUUGAACGCACAUUGCGCCCCUUGGUAUUCCAUGGGGCAUGCCUGUUCGAGCGUCAUCUACACCCUCAAGCUCUGCUUGGUGUUGGGCGUCUGUCCCGCCUCUGCGCGCGGACUCGCCCCAAAUUCAUUGGCAGCGGUCCUUGCCUCCUCUCGCGCAGCACAUUGCGCUUCUCGAGGUGCGCGGCCCGCGUCCACGAAGCAACAUUACCGUCUUUGACCUCGGAUCAGGUAGGGAUACCCGCUGAACUUAAGCAUAUCAAUAA
rnacentral:rRNA from 1 species